rnacentral:misc_RNA from 1 species
GAUGAAGAACGCAGCGAAAUGCGAUACUUGGUGUGAAUUGCAGAAUCCCGUGAACCAUCGAGUCUUUGAACGCAAGUUGCGCCCGAAGCCAUUAGGCCGAGGGCACGCCUGCCUGGGCGUCACACGUCGUUGCCCCCCCCAUCUACUCCUUCGGGAUUGCGGGGGGCGGAUGAUGGCCUCCCGUGCGCCUCGCCGCGCGGUUGGCAUAAAUGCCAAGUCCUCGGCGACGCACGCCACGACAAUCGGUGGUUGCGAAACCUCGGUUGCCCGUCGUGUGCGGUCGUCGCGCAUCGAGGGCUCGAAAAAAUUGCCGAGUUCCGGCUCGGCUUUCAACGCGACCCCAUGUCAGGCGGGGUUACCCGCUGAAUUUAAGCAUAUCAAUAAGCGGAGGA